AUUGAACGCUGGCGGCAGGCCUAACACAUGCAAGUCGAGCGGAGCGGCGGACGGGCGAGUAAUGCCUAGGAAUCUGCCUGGUAGUGGGGGAUAACGUCCGGAAACGGGCGCUAAUACCGCAUACUAUCAGAUGAGCCUAGGUCGGAUUAGCUUGUUGGUGGGGUAAAGGCCUACCAAGGCGACGAUCCGUAACUGGUCUGAGAGGAUGAUCAGUCAAACUGGAACUGAGACACGGUCCAGACUCGAACGGGAGGCAGCAGUGGGGAAUAUUGCACAAUGGGCGCAAGCCUAAUGCAGCCAUGCCGCGUAUGUGAAAAAGGCCUUGGGGAUGUAAAGCACUUUCAGCGGGGAGGCGUUACCCGCAGAAGAAGCACCGGCUAACUCCGUGCCAGCAGCCGCGGUAAUAC
rnacentral:rRNA from 1 species